AGCGGCGGAUGGGUGAGUAACACGUGGGGAACCUGCCCCUAAGCCUGGGAUACCAUUUGGAAACAGGUGCUAAUACCGGAUAAUAAAGCAGAUCGCAUGAUCAGCUUUUGAAAGGCGGCGUAAGCUGUCGCUAAGGGAUGGCCCCGCGGUGCAUUAGCUAGUUGGUAAGGUAACGGCUUACCAAGGCGACGAUGCAUAGCCGAGUUGAGAGACUGAUCGGCCACAUUGGGACUGAGACACGGCCCAAACUCCUACGGGAGGCAGCAGUAGGGAAUCUUCCACAAUGGACGCAAGUCUGAUGGAGCAACGCCGCGUGAGUGAAGAAGGUUUUCGGAUCGUAAAGCUCUGUUGUUGGUGAAGAAGGAUAGAGGUAGUAACUGGCCUUUAUUUGACGGUAAUCAACCAGAAAGUCACGGCUAACUACGUGCCAGCAGCCGCGGUAAUACGUAGGUGGCAAGCGUUGUCCGGAUUUAUUGGGCGUAAAGCGAGCGCAGGCGGAAAAAUAAGUCUAAUGUGAAAGCCCUCGGCUUAACCGAGGAACUGCAUCGGAAACUGUUUUUCUUGAGUGCAGAAGAGGAGAGUGGAACUCCAUGUGUAGCGGUGGAAUGCGUAGAUAUAUGGAAGAACACCAGUGGCGAACGCGGCUCUCUGGUCUGCAACUGACGCUGAGGCUCGAAAGCAUGGGUAGCGAACAGGAUUAGAUACCCUGGGUAGUCCAUGCCGUAAACGAUGAGUGCUAAGUGU
rnacentral:rRNA from 1 species